rnacentral:rRNA from 1 species
UACGUAGGGGGCAAGCGUUGUCCGGAUUUAUUGGGCGUAAAGAGCGUGUAGGCGGCUAGAUAGGUCCGUUGUGAAAACUCGAGGCUCAACCUCGAGACGUCGAUGGAAACCAUCUGGCCAGAGUCCGGAAGAGGAGAGUGGAAUUCCUGGUGUAGCGGUGAAAUGCGCAGAUAUCAGGAGGAACACCGAUGGCGAAGGCAGGUCUCUGGGCCACUACUGACGCUGAGAAGCGAAAGCAUGGGGAGCGAACAGG